CAACCGGUCUUUGUGAAAUCUGUCAGGUACCAGAAAUUGUAGAACACGUUAUCAUUAACUGCAAUAAAUAUAGGUCGGAAAAGGAAGGACAUGAUGGAGGAGAUGGGAAGAUUGGGGAUAACAGGAGCAGCAUUGGAGAAUGUACUGGAGUGUGGUGCUAGUGGGCAGGGGAGGAGAUGCUUUAUUAGCUACCUUCGGAGAGAACACACUACGUAAUGACCAACGUUACACUUUGGUCGUAAUUUGGUAAGUCGCAACAUUACCAACAGGUGACGUUGUGACAGCAUUGCUCUAUGGUCGCAAAAUACCAGACCUCAUGGAGACUGUUCUGCAACGUUGCAGUAACCGUUAUGGAAUUACGUAAAUACGAUGUAAUUUAAUAACGUAACAAUUACGUUAUAUCACAAUCCUCAUCCUUACUUAAUUCGAAACGUUACUGGUAGGUUGUCAGAACGUUUGUAAAUGGACGUAUUGGUUACAGUAAAACAUCUAUCUGUCUGUCUGCGCGUUUACGCUUGGACCGUUAACACGUUAUAUCCAAUGCAGGGUUUAUUAUUAUUAUUAUUAUUAUUAUUAUUAUUUAUUUUAAUAUAGGAUAUGAUGGAUAUGCAGGUAUAGGGUUCUAGGGUGGCUGACAUGGAUAGGGAUUUUAUAGUAGGGCUCGGUGUAAAGCAUGGAGGAUAAAAAAUAGCUUAGGGUGAAGGGAUUUUUGAGUGUAAAUCUAUUGUCUGAUACACACUCCGGAGCAGAAGGUGGCGGUAAUUCACCAAUAAGCUGUGCACACCCGCUGUAAAACAAGAAGACGGUAUAUCCAAUCACAUGCGCAUGUUGCUGUGACGUGCUCUUGGAAGAAGGUCGUUGUAAUUUCAAAUUCUCCGUGGGAAAAUCUGGGUUUGAGGGCGUUCAAGAGCAGAGUUCUCUACAUUUGGCCCAACAGCUCAAAUGGAAACUAGAGCACAAGAUCAGAAUGAAGCUCCCACACAUGACUGUUGCCCCGGUGAAGAACCCGAGGUCCAGCUUUCCCCACUCAAGACAUGCCUGAGACAAGAGUGACUGUAUUCCAAGUUGAUCCAAGGUUGAUGUCAUACGGAUUUGUGGCUUCUACAGGAGCAAAUACCAUCGUUUCACAAUAUGAUAGCUCGUGGCUUCCAACCUCCCUGUGGACCAAUCUUCAUCCCAUGGAACGGAUGGACCAUGUCCUGGAGGAAGUUGAUGGCCUAUUGAUACUCCUCCAUCUUGAGCCUGAUCAGUGCUGUUAUCGGAUGGCGAGAGGAAACCAAUGAUCAACUUGCUCCAGGAGCCACGCUGUAGUCAGGUAGGAUAGGGGGCGUUGUUCUUGCUGCACCAUGUAUUUCUGCCCGGCACUUGUUGCCUUACUGAAUACAUUCAUAGCAGGGCAACCUUCAUUUUUAAAAAUGACUGGGCUCGAUGGCUUUAGUUGACAAAUUGGGAGCUAUUUUCAGUGCCAUCCCUUCUUGAAAGUCCAGUAGAUCCUUAAUAGGGGCUACUGAAACCUCAUUAGAGGGGAGAUUCUCUUUUUCUACAAUAUCCGCAGGAAUUAUGAACGCCUGUUCACGGACGAGGACACUCUCUAGGUUUUUGACCAGAUGGGGGACGUCAGGCAUGAAAUAGAGCUGCCUGUCUGGCGUUACUGGAUGUGGCACCGAUGUUUUAUUGUGGUCCACCCCAAAGACUUCCCAUGUCGGUGGUGACAUCAAGCACAUGUAGCCCUAUGGAUGCUGCUCUCUCUAUUAUUUCCAGAAUGAUUGGUCUGUACUCUGCUCCAUUAGCAGAAUUACCACUGUAGUGGUAAGCCACUACUUGCUUCCACCGUGUUGUGUUUCCCACCAACAUAAACACACAAGCAUGUGUUGCACCAGGUCACUUCACCAUAUAAUUUGCCUGUCCCCAUGUGCAGCUCCACGCUUGGUGUGAUGGCCAUCUUGUCCAGGGUCAGCACACACUACCUUUCCAGCUCUGUCAAUCCAAUCCAAUCCACACCUGGCUCAAAUUUAACUAGAGCCCGACCGAUAUAUCGGCCAUUAUUCGACUUUUUUUGACGACAUCGGGAUCGGCAGUUAUGCCGCCGACGUGUCCCGAUAUUUUAGUAAGUAUAAUAAACAAAAAAACAAUGAUUAUUUAUCUGUACUUGUCUGUUCGAACGUUGUAGUUGCUAUUUACUAUAAUUAUCCAGUAGAGGGAGCUCUAAUACAAGUGUGAACUGCAGCAGCUGACGCGCUACUUCUCUGAGACGUUUGUCACUCGUGCCUCAUCCAAUAUUCUCCACUGCAAAACUUGUCUGCACAGGUUCGAUUGCCGCAACAAAGGUAUGCAUAUUUAGUGAAAGUUUUUUUAAUUAAAUGCGUUUAUACGACCACUAUGUUUAUCAAUCCUCAUUAUCAAGCGAGCGAGCUAGCUAACAUAUUUGGUUCACUUUAGCAAGCUAGCGGG